rnacentral:rRNA from 1 species
GAUGAACGCUCGCGGCAGGCCUAAUACAUGCAAGUCGAACGGGUGGUCGCAAGACCACUAGUGGCGCACGGGUGCGUAACGCGUAACCAACCUGCCCCGAUCUGGGGGAUAGCCCGCCGAAAGGCGGAUUAAUACCGCAUAUACCCGCAGCCUGGCAUCAGGCAACGGGGAAAGAUUUAUUGGAUCGGGAUGGGGUUGCGUGACAUUAGCUAGUUGGCGGGGUAAGGGCCCACCAAGGCGACGAUGUCUAGGGGACCUGAGAGGGUGAUCCCCCACACUGGCACUGAGAUACGGGCCAGACUCCUACGGGAGGCAGCAGUAGGGAAUAUUGGGCAAUGGGCGAGAGCCUGACCCAGCCAUGCCGCGUGCCGGAUGAAGGCCUUCUGGGCUGUAAACGGCUUUUCUCAGGGAAGAAAAAGACCUUGCGAGGUACACUGACGGUACCUGAGGAAUAAGCACCGGCUAACUCCGUG